rnacentral:rRNA from 1 species
CGACCGGCGCACGGGUGAGUAACACGUAUGCAAUCCACCUGUAACAGGGGGAUAACCCGGAGAAAUCCGGACUAAUACCCCAUAAUAUGGGCUCUCCGCAUGGAGGGUCCAUUAAAGAGAGCAAUUUUGGUUACAGACGAGCAUGCGCUCCAUUAGCCAGUUGGCGGGUAACGGCCCACCAAAGCGACGAUGGAUAGGGGUUCUGAGAGGAAGGUCCCCCACAUUGGAACUGAGACACGGUCCAA